GGGAAACACGUGCAGACUGGAAAAAUCGCAUUAGAUUGAGACGCCUACGAAAGAUAAGAUUACAAAGAGAUAAAAUACUAUUAUUUCCUUUUUACCUAGCCAUUGUAUCAAUUCUUGUUCCACCAAUAUGCAAUCACCUCCAAGUACUGCAAUUCUACAAAGUGUCCAUUAACCACCCCGCAGGAUUGCAAAUAGGUGCGAUGUGUGACAAUUACGAAGAUUUUCUAUCCGGCGCAUGCAAACGUUGCUGUAGGAAAGAUUUCUCAAAUUGUGCUGUAGCAGGCUUUGAUGCUGAACACUACUUUCCUCACAAAGGUGAACCUAGGAAAGAGAGAAAGUAUUACUAUGAAAUAGGACUUGUUUGCCCUUAUAAUGAGAAUUACGAGUUUAGUAUUUUAAAAGAUUGCUAAACGAAUGGAAAAUAUUAUUUUGCAUAUAUUAUCAGCUUUGCAGUUUUAGAUGCAACACAUCAAAAUCAGUCACUGGUCUUUUAUAUUUUGAGAUAUGAAAUUUCUAAUUUACCCUCUUCUGACUUAACGAAUAGGAUGACAUGUUCUACGAAGAAGAAAAUAGGAGGAAAAAACGCUGUAGAGGAUGUAUAAACUACAUAAUAUACAAUGAAUUAAAAAGUAUCUACAAAAAAAACGACACACUUUGAAGAAUUCGUACUUGACGUAAUGUGCACUGAAUUUAAAAAAAGACACGCCUUCUCAAAAGAGCUUGUAAUCUACAUAAUGUAUAAUAAAUUGAAAGAAAAAAAACGACUCACUCCAAAAAACUAGUGUUCUCAAUCAUAAAAUAAUUAAAACAAAUUACACACGUUAAGGAACUUGUAAUUUACAUAAUGAGUUUUUAAAAAACAGCAUGCUUCUAAGAACUUGAGAUCUAAAUAUACUAUUAAUUGAAUAAAAAUAAUAAUAAAGCAACGCGCAUUAAGGAACUUGUAAUAAACAAAGAUUCACGCUUCAAAGAUCUACAGAAUAUGUAAUAAAUUUUUAAAAAAAAGACGCAAUUCAUAGAACUUGUGUACUAAACAAUAACAAUGAAUUGAGAAAUAAUAAUAAAUAGUACACAUUUUAAAGAAAUUGUGACAUACAUAAUAUAAUAUAAAUUUGAAAAUAACAACAGACUUCUAAGAACUUGUGUUCUAGUUUUAAAUAUUGAAUUGAAAAAUAAUAAUUAAAAAAACUACAUACUUUAAAGAACUUGUCCUAUGUAUAAUAUAGUAUGAUUUAAAAAGACACAGAAUUCUAAGAACUAGUGAUAUAGAUAUGCAAUGAAUUGAAGAACAAUAAUAAAAAACCAACACGUUUUAAAGAACUUGUGAUAUACAUAAUAUGCAGCGAUUAGAAAGAAGGAAAAAAACAGACCUGCCUCUUUGAAAGAAUUUGUGAUAUACAUAACAGACAAUGAAUAAGAAAACCUGAAAUGCUUCAAAGAACUUAUUUAAAUACACAAUGAACUGGAAAAAAAAUGAACGACACGAUAAAAAGAAAUGGCGAUAUAUAUAAUAUACAAUGAAUUAAAAAAAGAAAAUAUUUUUCAAGGAACUUUAGAUCUAACUAUUAAAUUUUCAUCAAUGUUUUUGCAACUUUACUCAGAAAAGUUCUCGAUACAUGAUUUUCCGCAAAAAAGUAGAAUCUAUUUUCGAAUUCGACAUCCUCAGUGAUUUAGAUAAAUAGCUUAUAAAAAAUAGUAACUGUUUUUAGUUGUUCAAUUUCUUGAAGUGAUUGUAAAUCUCACAUUACAAUAUAGCAUUAAAAUUUUUAUGAAUUGU